AAUAAUAAGCACAAAUCUUUUCUUUUCUUUCUUUUCCUUUUUCCUUCCUUUUGUUUUUUUUCUUCUCCUUUUUGUUCCACAAUCUGUG
rnacentral:ribozyme from 1 species